AACGUUAUACCGUCUGUGUGUGUGUGUGUGUGUGUGUGUGUGUGUUUGAGGUGCAUUCUGGUCUCUGAUGACAAUGACACAACAUUAUUACACACGUCACUAUACAUGCAAACCAUCCAGAAAUCACGCAACCGGAGCGACUCUGAGCCGCAGGUGAGAUGAUCUGUCGUCUUGGUAGAUGUUUAACGUGAACGUGAGAUGAUGUUCACCAAACCUGUCGCUUUCAGAUGGUGUAGAAAUAACGUGCAUGAAGAACAGAAGUGUUUUCUUCAGAAUAAAGUCACUGAUGAGAGUCAGAGUCGAUCUGAGGCCUCACGAGGAGACGCUCCUGAAGAAGAGAAGAGCGGCAGAAACGCCAGUGACCCGAGAGACGCAGUGAUGUCAUGAACAGGAGUGUUAUGAUGCGGUGGAGCUGCAGUUAUCAUGGAGCGACACAGAUGGCGUCUCACAGACGUUUGGCUUCAGUACGAACACACACGGCCAGAUCCCACCUGACACACACACACACACACACACACACUCACUGAUUAUCCUAACGGACACACUGAACCGUUAAACUCAUUGAUUCUGGUCUGGGAAACGACUCGUGUCCUCAUUUGAUUUCUGCUGACAGGAAAAUCAUUUCACAGUUCAAACUACAUUGAGCAUUUCCUCCACAUAAACAGGUGCUUGGUUAGUUAGUGAGUUGGUUGGUUAGUUAGUUAGUUAGUUAGUUAGUUAGGGUUAUGGUUAGUUACAUCCUCCAUAUGAAAGAUUUUAGAUCUGAAUGUUCUCUGUCCGUCAUGAGGAACAGGAACUGUGUGACUCCAGCUCUUCUGGUGGUCAGUCGCUCAGAUGUCAGAUUUCAGGUUCUAGUUUGAGUGUUUGUGAAUCAGUCGUCAGUAUCAGUGCUGGUUAACACACACACACACACACACACACACACACACACACACACACACACACACACACACUGAACUUCACUAGUGCUGGUGAGCUCUGGUCAGUGUGACGCGGGUCGGUAUCGCCGGACAUUCUUUCCGUGUGCGACACUCUCACCUCGGCGCUGAUAACGCUGGAGUGUUUCUAAAAGCGUCUCUGAUAGAGCCGGUCCCGCAGCAGAAGCUCCUCAGACGGGCAGAAGCGUCGCUCCUCUCGCCGUGUGUCGCCGCGCUGCCGUCCGUCUGCAGGUGUGUGUGAGUGUGUGUUUCAGUCAUGUGUGACGCUGAAGAAGCCGCCGGACGGACGGAUGGAGGUGUGGAAGCCGCCGCUGAGAAUUCUCCGGGAGCCGAUCCAGACCCGAGUCCCGAUCCGAUCCCGGCGGCCCGUGAGGUGAGUGUGAAUCGCAGAACGGUGAUCAUCGAUCAGGAGUGACUGUCUGAUCUUGUGAGUGUGAACCGUGUGUCUGAUCCACCGAUCUGAUUGGUCAUCAGCACCUCACCGUCUGCGUUCAUUGGUGGAGCAGAAACUAACGAGCGACUGAAGAGUGCAGAGAAAAUCCCAUUAAUGAACCCAUGACCCUGUGUUUGUGUCCCUGUGUGUUCAUCCGCAGGAGCAGAACGAGGAACCGGCGUCGGACCGUCAGUGUGUGUCUCACAGCGGCAGACAGAUUCUGUUUUACAACACUUAAAUAUGUUACUCGCUGUUCAUUAUGAUUAUUAUUAUUAUUUAAAAUCAUUUAAAUGUUUUUAUAUGCAGCUGGAGGCGACAGAGAGUCAGACAGACAUUCAGACGGAGAUACUGAAGCCGGAGGCGACAGAGAGUCAGACAGACGUUCAGACG